rnacentral:pre_miRNA from 1 species
AAUAAGUGUAGUUUUACAUUAUUCAUAUUCAACAUUUGACCGUUCGUAUUAAUUGAAAUUUUUUAUGAUUAGUAUUUUUAUUGUUAUUAGAUGAUAAAAAAUAAAUAGUACUUUACGUGUAAAUAUUUUUUUUCUUAUUUUUUUAAAUAAGACGAAUGGUUAAACGUUGAAUAUGUAUAUCCACGAGCCACAACUACA